UCGAGCGAAUGGAUUAAGAGCUUGCUCUUAUGAAGUUAGCGGCGGACGGGUGAGUAACACGUGGGUAACCUGCCCAUAAGACUGGGAUAACUCCGGGAAACCGGGGCUAAUACCGGAUAACAUUUUGAACCGCAUGGUUCGAAAUUGAAAGGCGGCUUCGGCUGUCACUUAUGGAUGGACCCGCGUCGCAUUAGCUAGUUGGUGAGGUAACGGCUCACCAAGGCAACGAUGCGUAGCCGACCUGAGAGGGUGAUCGGCCACACUGGGACUGAGACACGGCCCAGACUCCUACGGGAGGCAGCAGUAGGGAAUCUUCCGCAAUGGACGAAAGUCUGACGGAGCAACGCCGCGUGAGUGAUGAAGGCUUUCGGGUCGUAAAACUCUGUUGUUAGGGAAGAACAAGUGCUAGUUGAAUAAGCUGGCACCUUGACGGUACCUAACCAGAAAGCCACGGCUAACUACGUGCCAGCAGCCGCGGUAAUACGUAGGUGGCAAGCGUUAUCCGGAAUUAUUGGGCGUAAAGCGCGCGCAGGUGGUUUCUUAAGUCUGAUGUGAAAGCCCACGGCUCAACCGUGGAGGGUCAUUGGAAACUGGGAGACUUGAGUGCAGAAGAGGAAAGUGGAAUUCCAUGUGUAGCGGUGAAAUGCGUACAGAUAUGGAGGAACACCAGUGGCGAAGGCGACUUUCUGGUCUGUAACUGACACUGAGGCGCGAAAGCGUGGGGAGCAAACAGGAUUAG
rnacentral:rRNA from 1 species